UACGUAGGGGGCAAGCGUUGUCCGGAUUUACUGGGCGUAAAGCGCGCGUAGGCGGAACGACCAGUCCGGCCUGAAAGCCCCCGGCUCAACCGGGGAGGGAGGCCGGAAACUGUCGAUCUUGAGGGCGGUAGAGGAGAGCGGAAUUCCUGGUGUAGCGGUGAAAUGCGUAGAUAUCAGGAGGAACACCAGUGGCGAAGGCGGCUCUCUGGGCCGACCCUGACGCUGAGGCGCGAAAGCGUGGGGAGCAAACGGG
rnacentral:rRNA from 1 species